UACGUAGGGUGCGAGCGUUAAUCGGAAUUACUGGGCGUAAAGCGUGCGCAGGCGGUUCGUUAAGUUCGUUGUGAAAGCCCCGGGCUCAACCUGGGCACUGCAGUUGGAACUGGCAAGCUAGAGUAGGGUAGAGGGGUGUGGAAUUCCAGGUGUAGCGGUGAAAUGCGUAGAUAUCUGGAGGAACAUCAGUGGCGAAGGCGACACCCUGGACUCAUACUGACACUGAGGUGCGAAAGCGUGGGGAGCAAACAGG
rnacentral:rRNA from 1 species